UACGUAGGGUGCGAAGCGUUAAUCGGAAUUACUGGGCGUAAAGCGUGCGCAGGCGGUCUUGCAAGACAGAUGUGAAAUCCCCGGGCUUAACCUGGGAAUGCAUUUGUGACUGCAUGGCUGGAGUGCGGCAGAGGGGGAUGGAAUUCCGCGUGUAGCAGUGAAAUGCGUAGAGAUGCGGAGGAACACCGAUGGCGAAGGCAAUCCCCUGGGCCUGCACUGACGCUCAUGCACGAAAGCGUGGGGAGCAAACAGG
rnacentral:rRNA from 1 species